AGACACUUGAGCAAACUCCUUUAGUAUCUUAUUUUGCAGAUAAUGUGAACCAGGUCUCCCUGGAGACUUUGGCCAUUGGCCCCAGCUCUUCUAGCUCCUGUUACCCUGCCCUUCAUCAUUGAGGCACUAAGACAAAGCACAGUUGGUGUCUUCUGGUGGACUUUUGUAGAAUCAGUUUUGCCAUCUUGAAAUAGGUACGACAUCUAGAAGGAGAGCAAAGCAAAAGCUCUUCCCUGAUGGGGGCCAGGAAGAGGAUGUCUGGGAAGCCAAUUGUAGGCUGUCCUGAAGUCUGUCAAAAUCAAC
rnacentral:lncRNA from 1 species